rnacentral:lncRNA from 1 species
CCAAUAUUUACCAGGAAGUUUGUGUUUUCCCCAAAUAUGCAUAUAUUUCAGCAAAAGAGUAUAAUACAAAAAAGGAAAAAACUCUUCACAUGUUUGAAUUUGGUUUAACAAGCAAGUACCACUCCUAUGAAAGGAUGUGAAAAAAAGUAGAGAAAUUCUCAAUGAUGUCAUGCUAAAAGGCAAAUGCCCAACUGUAGCACAGCACAGUUUAAAUGGACCAGUACUGUCAAAGGAUCAAACAAGGUGAGGCUUUAAUUAGACAUAUAUGCAUUGAGGCUUCUCUCAGCAUCUACCUCUUAGAUGAAUCAGAUGUAGAUACCUUCCUUCCAAAAUUGGGGCAAUUCUGUAUAAAUUACAUACUUCUGUAACUGUUGCCUGUUUGCUCAAACAUUACAAAUACAACUGCAGUUUUUAAAAUUCAUUUAGCUCCUAUUUAAUAUUAAAGUAAGUCAAUGUCACUAAAUUACAUUAAAGGUACUUUUGACUGCUUUCCAACAAUCCAAAAUCCACAUUGAGUUUUGGACUGAAAGGUUUGCUUUAUAGCUUUUUAGCCCUACAAUUUCUUAGAAUUUCACAUUGAUAAAUUGUUUAUCAGCUUUAAAUUGAUCACAAGGUAAAUUUGUUUCUUCAACUUUGGUUUUAGACCAGGUGGCAUCUAACACAAUUAAUUAUUAGAAAAAGUAUAGAUACUCUCUUUCUAUUGAUUGCAAAUUCUUGCCUUGAAUAAAUUCAUCUAUCAUGAUACUUAUGCCAAUGAAUUCAUGCAUACACCUUGAGACGCAGGUGGACAAAAAGCCUCACCUUCAUCCUAGCUUCUUGCAUUCUAAAACCACAUUUAAAGGAGAAGAAGUCCAUUGAGGGGAUUUGGAAUCUAUAUAGUGCAAUUUCCUAAAGAAAAUACCUUUAGAAACACGGCUACUUUCACUGCACCUAAAAUUGAAA